rnacentral:siRNA from 1 species
AAAGGGUUAUAAUGCAAAUGUUGA